rnacentral:misc_RNA from 1 species
AAGAGCUUAAAAACUCCUUAAAACCAUUGUGAACUCAUCCGUCAGCGUUGCUUCGGUGGGCGGCCCCUCCCCGGGGCCUAAGCCAUCCCUCACCCGGAAGGCGCCCGCCGGAGGCACAAAACUCUCCUGUAUUUUAUGGCACUUCUGAUUAAACAAGCAAAUAAGUUA